CACGUAGGGCGCGAGCGUUGUCCGGAAUUAUUGGGCGUAAAGAGCUCGUAGGCGGUGUGUCGCGUCGGCCGUGAAAACCUGUAGCUUAACUGUGGGCUUGCGGUCGAUACGGGCAUCACUGGAGUUCGGCAGGGGAGACUGGAAUUCCUGGUGUAGCGGUGAAAUGCGCAGAUAUCAGGAGGAACACCGGUGGCGAAGGCGGGUCUCUGGGCAGUAACUGACGCUGAGGAGCGAAAGCGUGGGGAGCGAACAGG
rnacentral:rRNA from 1 species